rnacentral:rRNA from 1 species
AGUGGCGGUCGGGUGAGUAACGCGUGAGAAUCUGGCUUCAGGAGGGGGACAACAGUUAGAAACGACUGCUAAUACCCCAUAUGUCUACGGAUGAAACGGUGAAUUCCGCCUGAAGAUGAGCUCGCGUCGGAUUAGCUAGUUGGUGAGGUAAAGGCUCACCAAGGCGACGAUCCGUAGCUGGUCUGAGAGGAUGAUCAGCCACACUGGGACUGAGACACGGCCCAGACUCCUACGGGAGGCAGCAGUGGGGAAUUUUCCGCAAUGGGCGAAAGCCUGACGGAGCAACGCCGCGUGCGGGAAGACGGCCUGUGGGUUGUAAACCGCUUUUCUCUGGGAAGAAUAAGUUGACGGUACCAGAGGAAUCAGCAUCGGCUAACUCCGUGCCAGCAGCCGCGGUAAUACGGAGGAUGCAAGCGUUAUCCGGAAUUAUUGGGCGUAAAGCGUCCGCAGGCGGCUUAUCAAGUCUGCUGUUAAAGGUCGGGGCUCAACUCCGGUUAGGCAGUGGAAACUGAUAGGCUAGAGUGUGGUAGGGGUAGAGGGAAUUCCCAGUGUAGCGGUGAAAUGCGUAGAUAUUGGGAAGAACACCAGUGGCGAAGGCGCUCUACUGGGCCACAACUGACGCUGAGGGACGAAAGCUAGGGGAGCGAAAGGGAUUAGAUACCCCUGUAGUCCUAGCUGUAAACGAUGGACACUAGGUGUUG